UACGUAGGGUCCGAGCGUUGUCCGGAAUUAUUGGGCGUAAAGGGCUCGUAGGCGGUUUGUCGCGUCGGGAGUGAAAACCUACAGCUUAACUGUGGGCUUGCUUUCGAUACGGGCAGACUUGAGGCAUGCAGGGGAGAACGGAAUUCCUGGUGUAGCGGUGAAAUGCGCAGAUAUCGGGAAGAACACCCGUGGCGAAGGCGGCUCUCUGGGACGGUACUGACGCUGAGACGCGAAAGCGUGGGGAGCGAACAGG
rnacentral:rRNA from 1 species